UGGGUCCCCCAGACUCUGCUCCUGCUAUGCUCCCACCUCACUCUUCCCUGAUUUCUCCUCCUGGCAUUCCAGCCUCCUGGACCCCAGUAUCUUCUUCAGACUGAAGAUUUGACUUCUGCUUGGUCUCCUAGGCAGCCCUAGGAACUAACACAGGCACCGACUGCACCAAGCAGGAUUCUUGAAGCUGAGGUUACAGUGGAGAAAGAAACAGGUGACUUCAGGAGGAACCGCGGCUCUGCAGUGGUGUGUGUCUCUCUCAGGCAUGGGGGUCUCAGGAGAAUUUGGAAACUGGCACCUGCGGAGCAGCCCCCAGAGGCCCACUGACUCCCUCUUCCCCAAGGCCAGCCCAGGCACAGAGAAACUCCUGAAAGUUUGGGGGAGCCCUCCCCAGCACCUGCUUCUCCUGACAUUCUACCUCUCC